rnacentral:rRNA from 1 species
UUGAAAGGGAAACGAUUGAAGUCAGUCGUACCAACGGGAAAUCAAUUCAUAGAGCGGAAUGUUGGGUCUUGAAGAGUGUUAAAACCUUUGGGGUUCAGAUAUUUUCACUUUUUGAACGUAUUUUCUCGUACGGUAGGUUAACAUCGAUUUUGAGCAUCAUAAAAUGAUCGGAGGAACGUAGCUUCGAUCUCGUAUUGAAGUAUUAUAGCCUUUGGUAGAUGUGAUGAACAAGAUCGAGGAUUGCAACGAAUACCCUUUUGGGCUAUCCGUCUGAUCUCUGAUACGUUGCCUUGGUAACGAAAGCGUGCUUACGGUAUUGAGGUAUUACGGUCAAAAGGUUAGAACGUGAUUACAUUCGUUAAGGAUGUUGACGUA